rnacentral:rRNA from 1 species
UACGUAGGGUGCAAGCGUUGUCCGGAAUUAUUGGGCGUAAAGAGCUCGUAGGCGGUCUGUCGCGUCGGCUGUGAAAACCCGGAGCUCAACUCCGGGCCUGCAGUCGAUACGGGCAGACUGGAGUUCGGCAGGGGAGACUGGAAUUCCUGGUGUAGCGGUGAAAUGCGCAGAUAUCAGGAGGAACACCAGUGGCGAAGGCAGCCCCCCUGGGUUAACACUGACGCUCAGGCACGAAAGCGUGGGGAGCAAACAGG